rnacentral:rRNA from 1 species
GAAAAACGCUAGCGGCAGGCUUAAUACAUGCAAGUCGAGGGGCAGCACAGGUAGCAAUACUGGGUGGCGACCGGGAAACGGGUGCGGAACACGUACACAACUUAUCUUCUGGUGGGGGACAGCCUUUGGAAACGGAGAUAAAUACCCCAUAUUAGAGAUGAGCUGCAUGGUUUGGAUAUUAAAGAUUUAUUGCCGGAAGAUGGGUGUGCGUAUGAUUAGGGAGUUGGCGGGGUAACGGCCCACCAAGCCGACGAUCAUUAACUGGUGUGAGAGCACGACCAGUCACGCGGGCACUGAGACACGGGCCCUACUCCUACGGGAGGCAGCAGUAAGGAAUAUUGGUCAAUGGACGGAAGUCUGAACCAGCCAUGCCGCGUGGAGGAUGAAGGUCCUCUGGAUUGUAAACUUCUUUUAUAGGGGGCGAAAAAAGGGAAUUCUUUCUCGUCUGACGGUACCCUAUGAAUAAGCACCGGCUAACUCCGUGCCAGCAGCCGCCGUAACAC